GAUUUCCCCAAGUGAGUAGCUCAUUUAGUAGACAGUUGGUUGUAAGAGUAGGACCUGCCAAAGAUGGGGUACAUUGACGUUGUGGCAGGCUUAUGCAAUGUAUGAUCAUAUAAUGUAACUAAACCCCCAUUAUUUUUUGCCUAGAUUAGGUGUUUUUAAUAAAACUAGCAAAAUCUGUCAGCACCAAAGUAGCUGUUUAGUAGAUAAGGGAGUGCGCUGGAUUUUCAUUUUUACUGUACUUAUUGGCCCCCAG